GUACUGUGCAAACGUUGUUCGGAAUCACUGGGCUUAAAGGGUACGUAGGCGGCCAGUUAAGUAGGGUGUGAAAUCCCCCGGCUCAACCGGGGAACUGCGCUCUAAACUGACUGGCUUGAGUGAGAUAGGGGUGUGCGGAACUUCCAGUGGAGCGGUGAAAUGUGUUAAUAUUGGAAGGAACGCCGUUAGCGAAAGCGGCACACUGGGUCUCAACUGGCGCUGAGGUACGAAAGCCAGGGUAGCGAACGGGAUUAGAUACCCCGGGUAGUCCUGGCUGUAAACGUUGAGCACUAGUCGGGAGGGGUUUCGGCCCCUUCCGGACGCAGCGAAAGCACUAAGUGCUCCGCCUGGGGAGUAUGGUCGCAAGGCUG
rnacentral:rRNA from 1 species